rnacentral:tRNA from 1 species
AGGGGUGUAGCUCAAUGGUAGAGUAGCGGUCUCCAAAACCGUUGGCUGCAGGUUCGAGUCCUGUCACCCCUGCCA